rnacentral:rRNA from 1 species
CCUACGGGCGGCAGCAGUGGGGAAUAUUGCACAAUGGGCGCAAGCCUGAUGCAGCCAUGCCGCGUGUGUGAAGAAGGCCUUCGGGUUGUAAAGCACUUUCAGCGGGGAGGAAGGCGUUAAGGUUAAUAACCUUGUCGAUUGACGUUACCCGCAGAAGAAGCACCGGCUAACUCCGUGCCAGCAGCCGCGGUAAUACGGAGGGUGCAAGCGUUAAUCGGAAUUACUGGGCGUAAAGCGCACGCAGGCGGUCUGUCAAGUCGGAUGUGAAAUCCCCGGGCUCAACCUGGGAACUGCAUUCGAAACUGGCAGGCUAGGGUCUUGUAGAGGGGGGUAGAAUUCCAGGUGUAGCGGUGAAAUGCGUAGAGAUCUGGAGGAAUACCGGUGGCGAAGGCGGCCCCCUGGACAAAGACUGACGCUCAGGUGCGAAAGCGUGGGGAGCAAACAGGAUUAGAUACCCUAGUAGUC